rnacentral:tRNA from 16 species
AUGGUCGGGAAUGGUCGG